UGAGAGGAUGAUCAGCCACACUGGGACUGAGACACGGCCCAGACUCCUACGGGAGGCAGCAGUGGGGAAUCUUGCACAAUGGGCGCAAGCCUGAUGCAGCAACGCCGCGUGCGGGAAGAAGGCCUUAGGGUUGUAAACCGCUUUCAGUAGGGAAGAAAAUGACGGUACCUACAGAAGAAGGUGCGGCCAACUACGUGCCAGCAGCCGCGGUAACACGUAGGCACCAAGCGUUAUCCGGAUUUAUUGGGCGUAAAGAGCUCGUAGGCGGUUCAGUCAGUCGGGUGUGAAAACUUGAGGCUUAACCUCAAGAGGUCACUCGAUACUACUGUGACUAGAGUGCGGUAGGGGAGCGGGGAAUUCCUGGUGUAGCGGUGAAAUGCGCAGAUAUCAGGAGGAACACCAGUGGCGAAGGCGCCGCUCUGGGCCGUAACUGACGCUGAGGAGCGAAAGCAUGGGUAGCAAACAGGAUUAGAUACCCCGGUAGUCCAUGCCGUAAACGUUGGGCACUAGGUGUGGGUCUCAACCAACGAGAUCCGCGCCGUCGCUAACGCAUUAAGUUCCCCGCC
rnacentral:rRNA from 1 species